GUGCUUCAGCAGAACAUGUACUGAAACUGGAACGCUGCAGAAAAGAUUAACAUGGCCUCUGCCCCAGGAUGACAGAUACAUUUGUGAAGAAUUCCCUACUUUU